rnacentral:rRNA from 1 species
UACGUAGGGUGCGAGCGUUAAUCGGAAUUACUGGGCGUAAAGCGUGCGCAGGCGGUUCGCCAAGUCAGGUGUGAAAUCCCCCGGGCUUAACCUGGGAAUUGCGCUUGAAACUAGCGGGCUUGAGUGUGGCAGAGGGGGGUGGAAUUCCACGUGUAGCAGUGAAAUGCGUAGAGAUGUGGAGGAACACCGGUGGCGAAGGCGGCUAUCUGGACGACAACUGACGCUGAGGCGCGAAAGCGUGGGGAUCAAACAGG